CAGUGCAGCAGAGCUGUAGAUAAGGCCCACAGUAAUAUGCAUUGGUUCAAUUUCUAUUCUAAAUUUCUAUUCUAUUCUGUUUUGUUUUGAUUGUUUUAAUGUUGUUUUUAGACUAUUGUUUAAAAAUUUUAAAUUGUUGUGUUUUAAAUUUCUUGUUUUUGUUUUUAACUAAUGUUUUACUUUUGUUUUUAUCUUGUUUUAAACCGACCGGAGAUGAGGGAAAGGAAAGAAGAAAAGAAGAAGAUGAGAGAGAGAGAAAGACAAGAAAUUGCUGUAGCAUUUGAGUGCCUAGAGUUCAUGGAUAUUUUCAGCAAGCUUGUCCCUGAUCUUCUCAAGAUGAAGAGGCAAAACUAUCUAUGAAGAAAAUACAAAAAGUUUCAACAGAGUACAAAAUACUCAGCAAUAUUUCCAGAAUGCUUUAACUUUGUGUACUGUAUUUUAUGGACUAUAAGACUCACUUUUUUCCUCGAAAAAUAUCUGCCAAAAUUCAGGAGCGUCUUAUAUGUUUUAACAGUUUAAUAUGUUAAAACUCUGAAAAACUGGAUUAAAAUUAAGGUGCGUCUUAUAGUCCGUAGCAUCUUAUAGUCCGUAAAAUACGGUACUUUGCUGUAUCAGCUGUACUGGAUGCUGAACCAUUUCCAGGUGCAAUUCAAGGCACAGGUCAUUUACCUUAGAGUCCCAAAGAACAAAGUAUUUAAAGGAUUUUCUCUCCCCAUGUUGUUAUUAUUGAUUGAGAAUAUUUAUAUUGUUUUUCAACAAAAAGUUUUCAAAGUGGUUGAAUCUGCCCACCAUGUGAAUCAGUGGAGUUCUAUCAUACAGAGUUAAAAAAUCAUUUUGUUCUGACAAACACUUUAAUUCUCUUGUGUUGCUUCCCGAGUUCCCCAUGGGCUUAGCAUCAGAUUCUACCCAGGCUGAGGCUCUUCAUAUUGCUGCCCCUUGUGGCAUCCUGCUGCACUGCAGCAUGCUUGUGAGCUUCCAGCUUCUUGGGCAAGCCCUGCUUCAUGGGAUCAAACCUUGGCUUCCCUUGCAACAGAAAGGAUAUAAGUAGCUUCCUGUCUGAAGCAAGCCUUGCCUCACUUUCAAAUUCUCUUUGGUCCUGGUGCUUUCUGUUUAUUCUCUUUGACUUGACUACCUGACUUCUCUGACUUGGCUUACCAGGUAUGGCUACCAGACUCUUGGUAUGGCUAACAGGCCUUUGGUUUGUUUAACUGGCUUGACCCUUGGCUCUUCUCCUGAUCUACUGCUUACUGUGUGAGCCAGGCCAGUCCACCUAGUUCUUGACCCCUGGCUUUGAUUCUGACUCUUGACUUCGCUUUUGAUUCCUGAUUCCAUGUUGGAUUCUCCCAGAUCUGACCUUGGACACUGUGACACUUUGAGGAAGCUGCCCAAAGUUCAGUCCUGACACUUAAUUUGAUUGUUAAUGUUUGUUGCAGUAUUAUUAUUUUUUAUUUUGCAGAUAUUUGUAAUAGUUUUUAUUUUUUAUUUUUUAUUUCGCAGAUAUUUUUUAUUUCACAGAUAUUUGUAAUAGUUAGCUACAUUGGAUGACUCAAUUGUUGGAGGAGAAAAGGUACCAUUUUUAAAAAGAAAUAAAACAUUUUUAUUACAGAUCAGAUAGUAUUGUAAAAUACAUAUUGUAAGAGUACAGUAAUCUGUUACUAAGCAAGGGUGCUCUGAUAAAGUACAUUUUCAAUCAA